AUCUGCACGAAUAAGCUCUUAUUCCAGAGAGCACUGAGACAAUAGUUUCGAUUAAGCAAAUUGCUGAAGGAAGAUGAUUUUGAAUGAAAAAUUAAAUUGGUGUGUUAUAACAUAUUACACAACAUGACAGAACUUUUAUCAUUCAACUCUUGACUGUCGCCUGAAGAACAAGCUCAAGUUUCUUACCUGAUCAGUUUUGUUUGGAGAACAUCGGUGCUCAGGUAUAUAUUACAAAGUCAAAGAAAAUAAUUUUGUGUCAUUAGAUUUAUACUUUAUCAAUAAUCUGUGAUUUAGAAACGGAUCUUUUGUGACGAGGAAUUAAACAAUUUAUGUAUGUUAGUAAAUUGUUCCACAAAUCACAGUUCGGCAGAUUUAGUAAAAUAGUGCUUUUUGACAGGACCAUCUAAGUCUAAAAUUAAACUUAAAGUAAUAUUUCUUUAUUUAAUUAUCUUUUCAAGCUUUCAUAAACAAUGAAAUUUCUACAACUGGUUUUCAUCUUCAGUCUUCUGUUCAGUUUCCUCGUGCUGGCCAACGGCAACGUCGGCGAUUACGAAACGAAACGCAGUGUCUUGCAGAAGCGGGGUAUAAGAAUACGGAGGAAAUGUCACAGAGGAUGGGGUUUGUGGACGAAUAAACGAGGCUGGUACAUAUACGGAAGCGAUUAUGGAUGUUGUGGCAAUUACCGAGGAUGUUGUAAAUACGCUAGUUGGGUUUGUUAUGUACAUGACGUCGCGUGCAAAUGUUGUAGCAAGUGGCAUUGUGGCCCUGCGUGUAAAAAAGAACCAUCGUGCUAGUGAAUGAUUUUACGGCAUAACCAAAAAAGGGGAAUUAACAAGUGAAAUAAUUAAUGUAGCUAUAGUUUUGUAUCCUACAACUAACAUCGUGGCAUCUGCAGAUGAUUGACUCUUAUAGAAUACUUAGAAUUAAGACGUUAUAGAAUAAGAAGUUUAACAUGUAAGCAUAUGUCUUAAUAGUCCAUUAAGAUAUGAUGGUCUGGAAUCCCGGCAAACUUUAAAGCCACAAAAUAGAGGACCUUUGUUUUGAUGUUGAACCUCGCUGUGCACAAAUCCUUUGUUUCAACUUCACUAGCCGAGUUCAUAUUAGAAGACGGAUUUCCGUCUAAGACGGGAAACUCGUCUCAGACGAGAAACUCGUCUUGAUAUAAAUUCGGUUAACGACGGGUUACCCGUCACAACUUUUCCGUCUAACUUUCCCGUCUGAACGACGGGAAAGUUAGACGAGUUUCUCGUCUUAGACGGAAAUCCGUCUUAAAUCCGUUUUAAAUUUAUAUCAGACGAAUAAGUCAAGACCGGUUUCUGCUCGUAACGUUCUUUUGAGACAGGGAUGGAGGGUCUCCUAUUUUUUCGGGUUUAUCCGUCCGAUGGUUUUCGUUUCAUACUUAUACCAGACGGAAGUCCGUCACACGAGUUUCCCGUCUUAGACGGAAAUCCGUCUUUUAAUAUGAAUUCUGAAUUCAUAUUAGAAGAAGGAUUUCCGUCUAAGACGGGAAACUCGUGUGACGGAUUUCCCGACUGUCUUCAUUAAAUAUUAUUUUCAUACGUUUCAUCUCAUCUAUCCUUAUUGGACGGUUGCUUAAUUCUACGAAAAUACAAUGAGCUCAAUCACCGUCACCGUCCACAAAUUAACAUAAACUCCGACAAAAACGUAACAAAUACUUCUGUUUAGUUUCAAGACCCAUCGUAUGAUUCGUAUCUUAAUAUACUGUAAUGUUAGUUACUAACCGGUUAGUGGUUAUUUUAUUCAAAUAGGCACGUGUUUUGUGUUUUUAAAUUUCCUGGUUCAGUUUAUUAAAUAUUAUAUAGCCAAGCAGGGCCGAAACUGCUAGAGUGUGUAUGGGGGGGGGGGGUGUAUCACCCCCAAAGAAAAGUAAAAAAAGGGGGGCCAACUUGCCCAGAGGGGGUGCCGGAAUGCUGAAAUUGCAGAAC